GUUGAUAGCUCAGUUGGUAGAGCACGGGCCUUUUAAGCCUGGUGUCGCGGGUUCGAGACCCGCUCAAC
rnacentral:tRNA from 1 species